AUUUAAUUCAUUUUACGUCGAGCAAUGAAACUAGAAGGACACGACUUCCUGUAUUAUUUCUACGCUCUGUUUUAAAUCAAGAGUUCGCCUUGAGAAUGACACCUACGCGAUUUGCAAGGUUGACUCGUUCGAGUUCGAAGCUCUUGUUAUUAAAGAUAUCUGCUUAUUUUUUAUAGAUUAACAUAUAUUUAUUUAAAAAAAGAAAAAAAAAAAAGAGAAUGAACACGUAUCACGUACGAACAUUCUUUUUCUGACCAAAUAGAUUAGGAAAAAAAAAUUAUUUCUGAACGAUCAUAAUUCGAGUGAAACUAUAUACCGUAUUACAAAUAAUAAUGAUUGAAAAACAAACGAUUUUAAAUUCUCGCAACAACAUCGGUCGUCCAUCAAAGCCAACAAACUCCUUGAGAUGAAUACGAACGUAAAUAAUGAGAAGAAUCGUUUGGAAUUAGAAACGUUGUAUACGCGUACGAAAAGGUCAAAGGCUUCGAGACUCUUGGAAUAAGUAGACAUACAGAGAUAGGAGAGAGUAGGGUAAAGAUGGGGAAACAAAGAAUAUAUAAGAGAGUCGCGAGACACACAUGGUAUCAGAGAUAUAGGAAUACGGAAGUUACAACAAGUUCAAGUUCAACAUCGAGCGUCUCUCCUUGAAGGCACGAGAAAGUCACCUUUGAAAACCGAGCUUACAUACUUUAUCUUCGAAAAGACCAUUUUCUAUCGUUUUAUUAUACUAUUCUUAGUGGUCACGAUCUAACGAUGACGAAUUCCAACUUUACGAACGACGUAAAUAUCAACAGCUAUUAUUAAUAAAUAUACUGCGUUCCAUGAAGAAAUUCUUCUAGUUACACGGUAAGAUUAAAUGAACUAUAAGGAAAUAUGGUGUAUUACCUGUUAACUCGUAUAACUUUCUUAUAUCGAAAACUGGAGAGGCCUGAAAUUACGGAGACGGAUUAAUUACUAAACUAAAAUCAAGAGCAAAGUAGUGAAACCGGCAUUUAACUGUAAUCGAGUCUUUAAAAUCACGAAGGUAUUUACGCGAUCAGAGUUUAAAGAGGGGAAUAAAAUGUUGUUAUUCCGUAAAUUUGCAGCUAGUGAAUUGCAGAAAUAAAACUUUUAAAAGAU